GGGGCUGUGGUGAAGCGGGAUCACAGCAGAAUGGCAUUCUGCUAUCACGGGUUCGAGUCCCGUCAGCUCCA
rnacentral:tRNA from 1 species